rnacentral:tRNA from 1 species
UGUUCUGUGGCUCAGUUGGUUAAAGCGCCGGUCUAGCGAAUACGGAGUCGUGGGUUCAAAUCCCACCAGAACGC